GGUUGACCUCGGAUCACGUAGGGAUACCCGCUGA
rnacentral:rRNA from 1 species